AGGGAGAUGCCAGUCUUUCAAAGUCUUCUUUGCUAUUCUGAACAAUUAAAGUAAUUAAUUACAGCAGAGUGGAAACUGCUUUGGUGAUUAGUUAGCCCCAUCAGUACCAGUCCCCCAAAUCUACACCCUUACCGCUCGUGUUAAACAGGGCAACUAACGUGUUUUUCCCUCUUCACCAGAUAAUAAAAAGAAAAUGCUGAUGCACUGCUCAUUGGGCUUCUGUCCAAACAUCAUUAUGUUCAUUGCGUUCAUGCUAUAUGGUGUGAAACAGGGUUUUGUGGGUGAAAUAGUUACGUGUGCAACUGUAAAUCUGGUUCGAUUUCUUCUGGUUUUCAAGACUGCUCCCUAUCUGGACAUACUCCCAGCAUGUCCAAAAAAAUAUAUCAAAGGAAUGGGUGUCAUGCUUCAAUAUCUAAUCACUGCUGGAGCAUUAUUUUCAGGUAAAUAUGAGUUCUUAGUGUGGCAUAAUGAACAUAUUCACAUCAUAAGGAUCUAUCAUUUAUCAUUCAUGGCCUUUGCAUUCAUCAUCAUGGGACAGGUCACAGACAAAUGUCAUAAACUAGGGGGUGAUAUGUUGUCUAAGUAUCUUAAUAAGUAUCUGACUUAGCUGGAAGAAUCUAACAUUAACAUUUAAUAUAUGGCAUCACAUUAAAGUGUAAACUAACACAAACAGGCAAUAUAAGAGAUAAAUCAGUAGCAAGAAGAGCUACACACACAUAAAUGCAGCACAGUUCAGUGUCUAACCAAUAACUUGUGCCCUUUUCUGUCCCUCAGGUGUUUUUGCAGACAUUUCAGUCAUCGGCAUUAACACAUAUUUUCUGGUGUUCGCUAUUGGGAUGAACUUAUUCUUCAAUGUUAUCCGAGCUUUCUUUGGUAUGAAAGAGGGUCAUCAAGUUUUUUGUCAUGUUAUAUAUUUCCCUAAAGGAAGACAACAGAACCAUCCCUAUAUCAUUACAACAGUAUCAACCACGGCUGUGUGUGGUGUUGCUAGUGUUGCAUGAAUAAGUUGGAUGGUUAUCAUUUUAGUAGAGUUAUUUAAAUUCUUGUAGGUCUUAUUAUUGUGUGGUCCCAUUGAAAUAUGUAGAAGCCCAACUGAUUGUUUCACAUGACAUAUGGCAUUUAUACAUUGAUCAGUAGAGGAUAUCAUUCUUAAAUAUCUUAGUAACUGUGAUGUUUGUCCCCAUGCAAUUUUUAUUGAACUUCUGGGACAAAAACAGGAACCAGAUGGCUGGAGAUGUGUUGCAGUUGCUGAUGCAGAUCAGAAACGGAGUUAAUAUCUAAAUGCUUUACCUCCUUACAGGUGGUGUUGAGAAUUUUGGAUAUUGGUGCUUUACAUAUGUGGACAUAAUCAACUGGAUCCUGCUGUGGCUGCUUGUUGUUGGAUAUUCAACCUUCAAUUUAAGUAUGUUCAUCACCACAUUAACUGUUACUCUUGGGGUGGAUGUGCUGUUUCAUUGUCAAGAUUUCUACUAUAAGUGGGGUAAGUUGUAUAUUUCACAACUCUGAUUUUAAGUGUUCAAAUACCAUCUCAUCUAAAUCUAUUUCAUUACAAUUCCUCCAUCAAGGUAUUCUACAUAAUGUUCUGUGUAAUUUUGGUGUUUGGCCUAACCACCUCAUACUAAAAAGAAGUAAUAUUUUCUUUCUGUGUUAUGACAGAGGCAAUUUGGACAAUCCUCCUAGUUCCCCUAUUUCCUAUUUGGAUCAUUACAUUUUUCUAUUACCUUUAUUUGAUUUUGGCCAAUAAACCAGAGGGUCUUGGGCUGAUGUGUGGCUGUGCACUGCUCUACAGUCUUACUGCUGUUUCAGGGUUUGACCAUCCCAGUACAGCAGCAGGUACAAUGCUAACAAUUCAUUAACAAUCAUGUUGUGAAAUUCAUGAAAUGACAUUGUGGAUCACAUACAGAAGUCAAGGCAGGCAAUUCUCAUUCCCCAGGUGCUUUAUAGAAAUCAACACCUGAAUCCCCUAAAGCAAAAAAAUAUCCUUACCAUUGGUACUACUACAAAUGUUCAGAGACCCUUUAUUAAUAAUAUUGAAUGUUGUAUUGAACAUCACCCUGCAGUAUAAUGUUUAAUACAGGAGAACUGACCAUGAUAUUUGUGUG